rnacentral:ncRNA from 1 species
AUAUUUAAAUUAAUAAAAUUAUUAAAUGUAGUAAAGUUUGAAUAAUUUUUUAAUUAUUAAAUAAAAAUUAAAAUUUAGUUUAAUAAUUAAUUUUAAUAAUAAUAUUUAUAUAAAUUAUAAUUAAAUUAAUGAAAUUAUAAAAUGUAAAAUUAAAAAAUAAUUAUGUGCCAGCAUUUGCGGUUAUACAUAAUAAAUAAAUUAAUUUAUUUAAUUUUUAAUAAUUAUAAUUUUAUAGAAUAUACAUAUAUAAUAAAUAAUUUAUUUUAGUGAAAUAAUAAAAAUUAUUAUUUUAUAUAAAUAUAAAUAAUUAAUUAAAUUAAAAUAAUAAAAUAGGAUUAGAUACCCUAGUAUUUUUAAUUAAAUUUUAUAUUAGAGUAUUAAAUGAUUUAUCAUUAAAUUAAAAAAUUUUGGCAGUAUUUUUUAUAAUUAGAGGAACUUGUUUAUUAAUUGAUAAUCCACGAUAGGAUUUACUUAUUUUUUAUAAUUUAUAUUUAUAUAUUUUCGUUUAAAAUUUAAUUUUUUAGAAUAAAAUUUAAUGUUAUUAUUAAACAUAAAUUCAGAUCAAUAUGUAGUUAUAGAUAAGAUUAAAUUAGUUACAAUAAAUAUUUAUUUAUAAUUGGAAAUUUAUUAUUAAUUAUUAGAUUUAAAAUGGAUUUAAAAGUAAAUUAUUAUAAUUAUUUUGAUUGAAUUUUAUAAAAAUAUGUACAAAUUGCCCGUCAUUCUAUUAGAUAAUAGACAAGUCGUAACAAGGUAAAUGUACUGGAAAGUGUAUUUAUUUUAUUAUU